UACGUAGGGUGCAAGCGUUGUCCGGAAUUAUUGGGCGUAAAGAGCUCGUAGGCGGCUUGUCACGUCGGAUGUGAAAUCCCGAGGCUCAACCUCGGGCCUGCAUUCGAUACGGGCUAGCUAGAGUACUGCAGGGGAGACUGGAAUUCCUGGUGUAGCGGUGAAAUGCGCAGAUAUCAGGAAGAACACCUAUGGCGAAGGCAGCUCUCUGGGACGGUACUGACGCUGAGACGGCGAAAGCGUGGGGAGCGAACAGG
rnacentral:rRNA from 1 species